UCGACGGCAUGACCACGAUCAUGGAGAUAUUUGUCAAUGGUUACAGAGACAGCGUCUAUGAUCUCAGAGACAUCGUCCACGAUCACAAAGACAUUGUUCAUGAUCGCAGAGACUUUGUCUAUAAUCUCAGAGACAUUGUCCGCGAUCACAGAGACGUAGUCCACGAUCACAGAGAGUCUUCCUACAAUGAAGAAGUUCUUUGAGACCAGGACAGAGGCCUCCAGGAGGAGGAGACGACGGCAUCACCUCAAGAGGACAACAAAUGAAGAUGUUAGAAGACUGAAGACUAAUAAACAUAUACUCAUAUGUGAUCAAAAUUACAUUAAAUGUUGGGUGAGAGAAUAAAACAAAGUGCCUCCAAACCA